CAGUGAAAGUGCCCUGAAAGCUGCCUGUGUUAAAUGUAAUUUUCUAUCUAUAUAUGAAUUUUGAUGCUUAAUGAAUUGGAAACAUGCUGUCCACCACAUCCAGAACCAGAAGCUGAGUAACAUUUUACAUGUGGAAAGAUCCGAAUGGCAUCUUUUAAUAUAAGGAGCUUCCGCCAUCCAGUCUAGGACUUGCAUCUAAUUAUGCAGGUUUCGUGGAGUUCUCAUUUACCUUUGUUGCAAACAUCAUGAACGCAUACACUAUUUGAAGGUUCAUGUUUAUAUAACAGUGGUGUUGCUGUCCAAUGUGGUGUGUUUUUGCAGCCUAUGGUGGUGAAAGAUAUCUGCAUCAAGUUGCUGUUCCUGUCCAAUGUGGUGUGUUGUUGCAGCUUAUGGUGGAGAAAGAUAUCUGCUUCCAGUUGCUGUUCCUUGUACAUCCAAGGUGCUGGUUUUGUGCUACGGAAGUUACAUCUAGUAUUGUGUUUAAUUGUUAUUCGUGUCUGUGCAGUUUACCUUUUAUGUAUUGAGAAG